UCUUGAACUCCAGGGCGGAUAGCUGAGUAACACGUGGCUAACCUACCCUAUGGAUGAGGAUAACCUCGCUAACGUGAGGCUAAUACUCAAUAGAAAAGGAGUACUGGAAAUGUCUCCUUUUUGAAACGUUACGACGCCAUAGGAUGGGGCCGCGGCUGAUUAGGUAGUUGGUGAGGUAAUGGCUCACCAAGCCAGUAAUCAGUAGUAGACGUGAGAGCGUUAGCUACCAGUCGUGUUCUGAGACAAGAACACGGACCCUACGGGGUGCAGCAGGCGCGAAACCUUUACAAUGCACGCAAGUGCGAUAAGGGGACUCCGAGUGUGGUCUUCCUACACGGAAGGCCACUUUUCUUUACUGUAAGGAGGUAUCGGAACAAGGGGUGGGCAAUACUGCUGCCAGCCGCCGCGGUAAUAGCAGAACCCCAAGUGGUAGCCACUUUUAUUGGGCUUAAAGUGUUCGUAGCCGGCCGUGUAAGUCUGCUGUGAAAUCCACGCGCUCAACGUGUGGAAGUGCAGCGGAUACUGCAUGGCUAGGAACCGGAUGGCGUCGAGGCUAUUCCAGGGGUAGGAGUGAAAUCCAAAAAUCCCUGGAGGAGCACCUGUGGCGAAAGCGCUCGACGAAUACGGAUUCGACGGUGAGGAACGAAAGCCAGGGGAGCAAAGGGGAUUAGAUACCCUCGUAGUCCUGGCCGUUAACUAUGUUCGUUUGAUGU
rnacentral:rRNA from 1 species